UAGGUCUGGGUUCCUGAAUGCCAAGUGAAGAAAGUACUUCAAGAGUGAGCAAUCAGGCUGUGCAUGGUGGCUUAUGCAUACUGAAUGGUUCGCUAGGUUUCACAACACGGAGGACACUGACAAACUUGAAAGGAGCCAUCUGGGUGGGGUGGUAAGGAGACAAUGUCGUCAGAGUGAGUACAAGAGAGAACGGGGUAAAGAAAUUGAACCCAGCCAGUAGGGUAGGCUCUUUCAAGGAGUUACGUUGUUAAGAGAAAUAAGGCAGUAGCUGAGAGGAAAAUGGGGCUGUGAGGCUUUAAGAUGAGAAAAACAAAGGCGUCUUCACUGAAGCAUGACUCUGUAUGACAUCCUUUCACAAAAUACCUUCCUCUUUCCUCUCAUGCCACAUUUCCCUCACAAGCCGCCCGACUCGCUCGCUUUUCUCUCGCCAGAGGGACUGAAAACGUCAUUAAUACCAACUGCAUACACAACUCCAUUGCAGCUACUGCCAUUCAUGAACGUUCAAACUUUCGUCACCCUGUUUUCAUAUUUGUGUAACAAACGUCGAGUGAACGAACCUCCACCUCUUCCAAGAACCCACGCUGAGGAGGCUUCCCAUAGACCCUGCUCUUACGAAGCCAACGACUUCUACAGGAAGAAAGAGGACCUGUAAGCUAGCGAGUGAACGACCCGCAAGAUGGAAAUGAGUGUGCUAAUAGAGGUCUCCGCCUCCCGCUGAAGGAGCAGGGAAGUGACACCACCCCCGGGACCGCCAGCCUUCUACAACAACCACCAUUUCUGAGGAACCACCUGAUCAGUCUCAGUCACCCUUCAAUCUGCCCCUUUGUCCCAACUCCUCAGCGGGUCUCGCCUCCCCUCCCCACCUCUGUCCCCCAAGGGUCCCACUACCGGCCCGAGCUGCCCUCCCUUCCUCUCGGCUGGAGGCCCCCGCGCUCUCUGUGGUCAGCCCCUGCCGCCCCUCGGGCGGCGCUGCUCUAGCUCUGCAGCCUUCCCAGGAUCCCGCGCCGCGCGGCCCCGCCCCCGCGGUCACCUGACCGAGCCCGACGCUCCGCCCACCGACCACCCCGAGCGGAGCGGGCCCAGGACCCUAUCGGCUGUCGAGCCGGUGCUGCCGCGGCCACCGCCACCGCCCAGGGGCUCCGGGGCUGUGGGGAGCGGCUGAACUCAAUACCGCCUCCGCGCUGACUGGAAGGCACUGCGGCCGCGCCUGCCUGCCCCACCUCGUAAGGGCCUGUGACCUCACGAGGCCAGCCGCCGGGCGCUGCAUUCGAGCGGUGGGGCUCCUGUCCGUGCGCUUUCCUCCCGCAGCCCCGGCCGGGAUUCCGCCCUCCGUCCUUGCCACCCGCUCGCCACUCUUCCCUAAUCGCUGUUCAUUCUCCGGUGCGCUGUCCCGCCAUGGUCUGACCCCACUUCAAUCUUACCUUCGGUCCGUCCUUUGAACACCCCGACCCCCGACCCCUUUCUUCCAAAACAUUCCAUCCUUCUUGGCUUCUGCUACUCAAUAAUGGACAGCAGCUCGAAGGCCAUGUGUCCCACGGCUUUGCUGAAAUUUGUCUCGGGUUGCCUUUAAGGAGACUGUCGUUUCCUUUUGAAAGAGAUACUUUGGUUGGUUUGGUUUUCUUCUGUGUGUUUGUUUUUCCUAUGUAUUUAUCGUAUGCAGUUGGGCAAAAUACUUAACGCUCCCUGAGUCUCGAUUUUCUCAUUCUUCCAGGGUUGUGGGAAUUCAAAAAUAUAUACGUAGUGCUCAAUAAAUGUUACAAUAUUGAACUUCAGAUUGAAAAGCAUGUACUUGAGUAGCUGUAUUUAAGGAAUUACACCCAAGAAGUCUCAUCUUCCCUGGACUUACGUAGAGGAUAAGAUUCUGAACUUUGAAUUGAUGCUAUAAUGGGAUAAGACUUUGGGGCCUUAGAAGGGAGACCAGGACCUGCCAGCCAAGACAAUAUUUUGGGUUCUUUCCCAAAAUACUUAGUCAUCUAAAAUCAUAACCCUAUUGAAAGCUGCCUUCCUGUUCAACCCCAGUCAACAACUAAAACAGAGGCAUGUCACCCCUCUGGGGGUCAGGCUGAGUAUACUCUGCAGAGCUCUGCUUCCCACAAAUGUCAGGAGAACAAAGGCCAUGAAGGUGUUAAAGGGAAGCAAGCGAUCGACAGCAUUGGUUGGUGACAAACCUGUGGCUGGU
rnacentral:lncRNA from 1 species